UGGACUCGAGUUUUGAUUGGGCAGUUAAAAACCUGUAAAAGCGAAUUAAAACUGGCGGUGGGGUGGGGAAGGAACCCAGUGCUUUACGCAAUUCAGCUGGAGUUUGCACCGUGACGCGCCACUUGGAGACCUCGGCUCUGCCGGCUAGGGGCCGUGCGCAGCCUGGGCACGUCCGCUUUAAAAAUUCAGAUUAAGCUGUCUUAGAAGUGGUUUCCAGACGAUUCACCUCCUGUGUCAGCAUAGCAGUUAUGGAAGCGAAGACAGGACUGGAACCAGAAUAAGAGCUCAAAUAUACUGGAAAAUCUGAUCUCUAAAUUCUUAUGUAAGUCAGAGAGUGACCAACAGUGGUGAGACAUUGAGGACCUCAACAUUUGCUAUAAACUUUGCCACAGAUCACUUCUCUGAAGACUGAAUUCAAAAAAGCACAAUGAAUACUAGAAUAUGCUGUGGUAGCAAGGUCAAUUCCAGACAAGGCUGAGAAUUCCUUACAGCUGUGGAAAGAGGCCCACCUCCUGACAUGGCCCUGCAUACAGAAGUGAUAGAACUUGGGGAAAGUGAUGAAGUAAUUGACCUCACCUGUGAAUCUCGGGAACCUGUAGUGAUUGACCUAACUCAUCAUGACUCUGUUGUGAUUACUGAACGAAGAAGGAGGCCAAGGGGAAACACAAGGUCACUCCAGGGCCAAACUGGUAGUUGUGUGGUAAGCAGUGACGAGGAGGAGUUGAUGAGGGACAGAGAUGUAUAUGUGACCAAUAGUUCCCACCGUAAUGCCCUGGAAGAAGAAACUCUAAGUCACACACUACCUGGUUAUAUCUGGUGUCGAAUUUGCAUGGAUGGGUACACAGAGAUUGAAGUUACUAGAAGACACAUCUACUCUACAGAAUGUGGCCACAUCUUCUGCAGUCAGUGCCUCUGCACUUCCUUUAAAUAUACUAAAACUUGCCCAGUUUGUUUGAAAAAAAUCAACAGUCGUCAGUACCACCGCAUUUAUAUAUGAUAUAUGCCUUUUUGCUUAGGACAGACAGACUCUGUGGCUGGAUUUUUUCAUGUCCUUGUGCAGGAACUUUGGGUUGUUGGCAUCAAAUGCUCUGAGCUUUAAUAGCCUGAUUUUUAUGAUUGUUAUCUGGAGUAUAUAAAACUCUUUUAUUUCUCCUAUACUCUGAGAUUGCUUUUUGUUUCUUUUGGUUUCAUACUUCAGGGCUGGACUUUGGUAGCCAUAGUGUGCCAGAGACGUGGCUGUCUCAAAGCUCCCUUUCUUUCUCAUAGUCAUCAAUUUUUAGUUGGCCACAUGUGGGCAUUUUAGACCAUGUAAAUAAGGGCAACAACCUAGAGAUGGUGGAGCAAGUAGACAGAAAGAACUUGGGAGACUGACAACUUUGUAAACCAGAGCCACUAUACAUGUUUGGACUUUUAGAGAGAAAUAAAUUUUAUUCUUGCUUAACCAACCA